GAAGGGCGUUUGGUGGAUGCCUUGGCAGUAAGAGGCGAUGAAGGACGUGAUACUCUGCGAUAAGUCAUGGGGAGCUGAGAAUAAGCUUUGAUCCAUGAAUUUCCGAAUGGGGCAACCCAUCUGACAGUUUGAUAUUAUCAGCACUGCUGUUGAUAUUGAGCUGAACCAGAUACUUAAUACCUGAAUACAUAGGGUUUUAAGAGCAAACCUGGGGAACUGAAACAUCUAAGUACCCAGAGGAAAGGAAAUCAAUAUGAUACUCCCCUAGUAGCGGCGAGCGAACGGGGACCAGCCGAGCCUUGAGUGUGAUCAGAAAGACCUGGGAAGGUCUGCCAUAGUGGGUGAUAGCCCCGUAUGAGAAGCACGAUUGGACGUAUUAAGUAGGGCGGGACACGUGAAAUCCUGUCUGAAGAUCGGAGGACCACCUUCGAAGGCUAAGUACUCCUUACUGACCGAUAGCGAACCAGUACCGUGAGGGAAAGGUGAAAAGCACCCCGACGAGGGGAGUGAAACAGUUUCUGAAACCGGACGCCUACAAGCAGUGGGAGGCCCCUUGAGGGCUGACCGCGUACCUUUUGUAUAAUGGGUCAUCGACUUAGUCUGACUAGCAAGCUUAAGCCGUUAGGUGUAGGCGCAGCGAAAGCGAGUCUUAAUAGGGCGAAUGAGUUAGUCGGAUUAGACCCGAAACCGAGUGAUCUAGGCAUGACCAGGAUGAAGAUUAGGUAACACUAAUUGGAGGUCCGAACCCACACCUGUUGAAAAAGGUCGGGAUGAGUUGUGCCUAGGGGUGAAAGGCCAAUCAAACUCGGAGAUAGCUGGUUCUCCGCGAAAUCUAUUUAGGUAGAGCGUCGUACGAAUACCUCGGGGGGUAGAGCACUGGAUGGGUAAUGGGGCCCCACAGGCUUACUGAUCCUAACCAAACUCCGAAUACCCGAGAGUAAUAUACGGCAGACACACUGCGGGUGCUAACGCCCGUAGUGAAAAGGGAAACAACCCUGACCUCCAGCUAAGGCCCCUAAUUCAUGGCUAAGUGGGAAAGCAGGUGAGACGACCAAAACAACCAGGAGGUUGGCUUAGAAGCAGCCAUCCUUUAAAGAUAGCGUAACAGCUCACUGGUCUAAUUAAGUUGUCUUGCGGCGAAGAUGUACCGGGGCUCAAGCCAUGAGCCGAAGCUGAGGAUGCACAUAGUGCAUGGUAGCGGAGCGUAGUGUGACAUAGUUCUACGCCUCCUUAGCAUCCUUCGGGAUGUAUUGGAGGCAGAGAACUUUCGAUGAAGCCGGGGCGUGAGCCAUCCGGUGGAGAGAUCACUAGUGAGAAUGAUGACAUGAGUAGCGACAAACAGGGUGAGAGACCCUGUCGCCGAAAGUCCAAGGGUUCCUGCUUAAAGCUAAUCUGAGCAGGGUAAGCCGACCCCUAAGGCGAGGCCGAAAGGCGUAGUCGAUGGGAACCAGGUUAAUAUUCCUGGGCCAGUUAG
rnacentral:rRNA from 1 species